GACGAACGCUGGCGGCGUGCCUAAUACAUGCAAGUCGAGCGGAAGUUGGAGAGCUUGCUCUUCAACUUUAGCGGCGGACGGGUGAGUAACACGCGGGCAACCUGCCCUGCAGAUCGGGAUAACUCCGGGAAACCGGUGCUAAUACCGAAUAGUUUUCGCCACCUCCUGGUGGCGUACGGAAAGACGGUUUCGGCUGUCCCUGCAGGAUUGGCCAGCGGCGCAGUAGCUAGUUGGUGGGGUAACGGCCCACCAAGGCGACGAUGCGUAGCCGACCUGAGAGGGUGAUCGGCCACACUGGGACUGAGACACGGCCCAGACUCCUACGGGAGGCAGCAGUAGGGAAUCUUCCGCAAUGGACGAAAGUCUGACGGAGCAACGCCGCGUGAGUGACGAAGGUUUUCGGAUCGUAAAACUCUGUUGUGAGGGAAGAACAAGUACCAACUAACUACUGGUACCUUGACGGUACCUCACCAGAAAGCCACGGCUAACUACGUGCCAGCCGCCGCCGUAA
rnacentral:rRNA from 1 species